CAAUAGCGUAUAUUUAAGUUGUUGCAGUUAAAAAGCUCGUAGUUGGAUUUCGGAUGGGCUUGACCGGUCCGCCGUUUGGUGUGCACUGGUCGUGCCUAUCUUGCUGCCGGGGACGCGCUCCUGGCCUUAAUUGGCUGGGACGCGGAGUCGGCGAUGUUACUUUGAAAAAAUUAGAGUGUUCAAAGCAGGCCUAAGCUCUGAAUACAUUAGCAUGGAAUAACGCUAUAGGACUCUGGUCUUAUUGCGUUGGUCUUCGAGACCGGAGUAAUGAUUAAGAGGGACAGUUGGGGGCAUUCGUAUUUCAUUGUCAGAGGUGAAAUUCUUGGAUUUAUGAAAGACGAACUUCUGCGAAAGCAUUUGCCAAGGAUGUUUUCAUUGA
rnacentral:rRNA from 1 species